rnacentral:rRNA from 1 species
AUUGAACGCUGGCGGUAGGUUUUAUCCAUGCAAGUCGAGCGGUAACAGACAUUUUGAUUCAGCUUGCUGAAUCUAGUGCUGACGAGCGGCGAACUGGUGAGUAACGCGUAGGAAUCUGCCCAGUAGCGGGGGAUAGCCCGAGGAAACUCGGAUUAAUACCGCAUACGCCCUAAGGGGGAAAGGGGGCAUCUUUGAUGCUCUUACUAUUGGAGGAGCCUGCGUAAGAUUAGCUUGUUGGUAGGGUAAAGGCCUACCAAGGCGACGAUCUUUAGCUGGUCUGAGAGGACGAUCAGCCACAUUGGGACUGAGACACGGCCCAGACGUCUACGGACGGCAGCAGGAGAGAAUAUUGGACAAUGAGGGAAACCUUGAUCCAGCCAUACCGCGUGUGUGAAGAAGGCCUUAGGGUUGUAAAGCACUUUAAGCGAUGAAGAAGAAAAGUAAGUUAAUACCUUACUUUUUUGACGUUACCCGCAGAAUAAGUACCGGCUAACUCCGUGCCAGCAGCCGCGGUAAUACGGAGGGUACAAGCGUUAAUCGGAAUUACUGGGCGUAAAGCGCGCGUAGGCGGUUAAGUAAGUUGGAUGUGAAAGCCCCGGGCUCAACCUGGGAACUGCAUUCAAAACUAUUUAACUAGAGUACGAGAGAGGAGAGUAGAAUUUCUGGUGUAGCGGUGAAAUGCGUAGAUAUCAGAAGGAAUACCAAUGGCGAAGGCAGCUCUCUGGCUCGUCACUGACGCUAAGGUGCGGAAGCGUGGGUAGCAAACAGGAUUAGAUACCCUGGUAGUCCACGCCGUAAACGAUGAGAACUAGCCGUUGGGGAGAAUUAACUCUUCAGUGGCGCAGCUGACGCAUUAAGUUCUCCGCCUGGGGACUACGGCCGCAAGGCUAAAACUCAAAUGAAUUGACGGGGGCCCGCACAAGCGGUGGAUCACGUGGUUUAAUUCGAUGCAACGCGAAGAACCUUACCUACCCUUGAAAUCCAGCGAAGUUCCUAGAGAUAGGAAUGUGCCUUCGGGAACGCUGUGACAGGUGUUGCAUGGCUGUCGUCAGCUCGUGUCGUGAGAUGUAUGGUUAAGUCCAGUAACGAGCGCAACCCCUAUCCUUAUUUGCCAGCGCAUAAUGGCGGGAACUAUAAGGAGACUGCCGGUCAUAAACCGGAGGAAGGCGGGGACGACGUCAAGUCAUCAUGGCCCUUAUGGGUAGGGCUACACACGUGAUACAAUGGGUGGUACAGAGGGUCGCCAAAGCGCGAGCUGGAGCCAAACCCUUAAAACCAUUCUUAGUCCGGAUUGGAGUCUGCAACUCGACUCCAUGAAGUCGGAAUCGCUAGUAAUCGCGAAUCAGAAUGUCGCGGUGAAUACGUUCUCGGGCCUUGUACACACCGCCCGUCACGUCAUGGAAGUGGGUUGCACCAGAAGUGGCUUGUUUAACCUUCGGGAAAACGGUCACCACGGUGUGAUUCACAACUGGGACGAAGUCGUAACAAGGUAGCCCUAGGGGAACCUGGGGCUGGAUCACCUCCUUA